rnacentral:sRNA from 1 species
UUAUGAACAACGCAAAAUAUCACUUUCGAUACACCUCCCACUAUACUUGAUGCGAGACGGUAUCCAGCCUUCACCGGCCGGAAUAUCUCCACGACCAUUGAUCCCGAGCGUGUGAAAAAAGGAGACUAAACCAAAAAGCCUGAUCUUGGGUGCGGUGCUUCUAUGCUCAAUCACUAUUGUGCAAUUGAGAAGGAUCGCAAUGAUUGGACUUACAU